UGGAAACAGCCUGGAGUGUUUAGCUUAGAUAUAGACUACCAGGAAGUUCACUGAUGGUCCUUGAAACCAGCUACCAUGUUGGGAGUAGCCGUAUGUGCCCCAGUGGCAAACUAUUAUCUCUGCUCAGCAUCCAAGAAAGACCCCAAGCCUGUCAACAGUAACAUGAAUGAGCUUGAAUCUUCUGAGGCCUGCCAACAGCCAUGUGAGGGAGCUUAUGAGAGGAUUUUCUUCCAGCUGAACCUUUAAUAAAGACAACAGACCAAGCAGA